AGAGUUUGAUCCUGGCUCAGAACGAACGUUGGCGGCGUGGAUUAGGCAUGCAAGUCGAGGGAAUCCCAGCAAUGGGGGAACCGGCGUAAGGGGCAGUAAUGCGUGGGUACCUACCCCGGGGUUCGGGAUAGCCAUCAGAGAUGGUGGGUAAUACCGGAUGACGUCGUGAGACCAAAGAUUUAUCGCCCUGGGAGGGGCCCAUGUGAUAUUAGCUAGUUGGUGAGGUAACGGCUCACCAAGGCGAAGAUGUCUAGCGGGUGUGAGAGCACGACCCGCCGCAUCGGGACUGAGACACUGCCCGGACUCCUACGGGAGGCUGCAGUAACGAAUCUUCCGCAAUGGGCGAAAGCCUGAUCCAGCCAUGCCGCGUGAGUGAUGAAGGCCCUAGGGUUGUAAAGCUCUUUCACCGAUGAAGAUAAUGACGGUAGUCGGAGAAGAAGCCCCGGCUAACUUCGUGCCAGCAGCCGCGGUAAUACGUGGGGUGCGAGCGUUGUUCGGAAUUACUGGGCGUAAAGCGCGCGUAGGUGGUUCGUUAAGUUGGAUGUGAAAGCCCCGGGCUCAACCUGGGAAUUGCGCUUGUGACUGCAAGGCUGGAGUGCGGCAGAGGGGGAUGGAAUUCCGCGUGUAGCAGUGAAAUGCGUAGAUAUGCGGAGGAACACCGAUGGCGAAGGCAGCCCCCUGGGCCUGUACUGACGCUCAUGCACGAAAGCGUGGGGAGCAAACAGGAUUAGAUACCCUGGUAGUCCACGCCCUAAACGAUGUCAACUAGUUGUUCGUAGAGGUAACUCUGUGAGUAACGCAGCUAACGCGUGAAGUUGACCGCCUGGGGAGUACGGC
rnacentral:rRNA from 1 species